rnacentral:rRNA from 1 species
GUCUACAGCCAUACCACCCUGAACGCACCCGAUCUUGUCUAAUCUCGGAAGCUAAGCAGGGUUGGGCCUGAUUAGUACUUGGAUGGGAGAAAUGCCGUGUUAGUUU